GGUUACACAAGACCUGAACAAAUUACUAUUACGCUGCACAAAUUUCUUCAAUGAUGUAUAAUAACUAAGUAGUAGGCGUUAUCAUGAAGCCUUCGACCAUGAAUAUUCAGAGUAAAAGCUAAAAUUUCUGAACGCAACGGCCACGUUCCCGCGAACAGAACUGUCAACUUCAUUGUGUUUAUUCAUGUAAGCCGACGACCAUUAGGGCAUAAUAAAAUAAAACGUUUUUAACUGAAAAUAACAGUAAACAUUUUAUAAGAAUGCGAAAAAAUAAAGAAAAUAGUGUUAACAGUGACGAAUUGCAAAAUUGGAGGGAAAAAAACCAGAAGAUCGAAGAAGAAAAUGCAACUUUCGCGAUCAAGGUCAAUUGCGGCGUCCUUUCGUCGAUAGCAUAGCUACACGGACAUGAUAAAUAUCAAGAUAAAAAUGUAGCAGACCAUGGAUGUACCUACAUUAAUAGUGCCAGCGAACGAAUGUUUAAUGCAUACAUAACUAAAAUUCCGAAAAGGAACAUAAACGUCGGCAAGUGAAGAAUGAAGCGAGUUAAUUUUGACCUUGUUGGAAGGAGGCACCGCGCCAGAAGGUUGAAUAUGGGAAUAAUCCUUGUAGGACAAUCUUGUUGUUUGCUUGCAGAUAUAUAAUUACGAACAUUACAAAACAACAAUGACCCGGACAAGAUUAUGAAAAAAUACUCUGCCUUGUUAAAUUACUGGUGCUCUGAAGAUGAACCCAGAGACUCAAGCUGCGGCUGGUGAGACGUUUGUCAGUUGGGAACAAGGCUAGGUAUCGAAAUGAAACAAAAUAAAGUUUCCUGUGACCUGUUCCCUCACUGUGAUGAUUUAGCACUCAAUAAAUUGUCUGCUGUAACCAGCUAUGAAAAGUGCAAUGACAUCAUAUUUACAAGGAGUCAAGGAUUUUGUCCUGGUUAAUCAUACAAAAUUCCCUUGUGAUCUGUGCCAAUACCUACAGUUAUUCUGAAAAAUGAUUACUAUUGAGCAAUCGACAGUCAAUACUAGGAAGUUAUGUGACUGUGAUAUAUACUGUGUGUACAAAAUAUAUGCCUAUGAUGUUCUUACACAAGAAUAUACACUUUACACAGCUUAAUAUUUAACUAAAAAUAUUUUAUGUACAAAACCCUAAGGGAAGUAAAUACAGUUAUAUUUUUAAUAUAAGUAAAUUGAUUGCAACUAAGCAGUUUAAGUUAACAAAGCAUUGGAAUUGCCAUGAAACUAAUUGUUGCAUGAACACUUUUUACUUGAUUUUAUGAGUGUAAAAAAAAAAAUAUCUCUGAUUCAUGUGGAAAGCUGAGAUUACAGUUUUAAGUCCUGUCAUUAGACUAUUUGACUAUAUGUCUCUCUAGCUAUGUGUCAGACCUUUCAUGAAGUGUCCAAGAUCUAGAGGUCACACAAUGAGCAACUGUUUAGAUGUUAUAUCUAUUGUCCUUAUGAUAAAUGUUUUUAGACUAUGUAGGUACCUAUACAAUAUGCAGUCUAUUAUUCUUGAUACCAUGUGGAGCUAGGUAUAAUCAACUUAAACUAGCUCCUUAGUACCUUAGAAAGCUGUCUAAUAUCUGGAUUUAUUUUUUUACCCAAUAAGAAAUAAUGUCAAUAUAUCACCUAGUGUGACUUAUUUUGGUGGCUAAUUGAAAGUAAAGGGUUAUAAAUAUACUUUUUGAAGAUAUUUAUUUACUAUACAGUAAUAGUUUAUUGACCUGCUGGGGCAACCGUGUGGAAAUGAGUUAUCUGUGGGAUUAUGGAAGGAGCCUAUUAAUAGAAUACAUUACAUUAAUUUUAUUCAGCUUAAUGGUGGUCUUUAUAUUUAAAGACGUUUCUUUCCGAUUUACCAGACUGUGACAUAUUUCUGAGAAAAUACAACACAGCUAUCUCAAUUACAAACCGCUUUGGUGAACUGAAAUACUAUUGUACAGUAUUUUUACCUCAAAACAAUGUUGAGGAACAAUUGGCAUUGGUGUGAAACGAGACAUUACAAUAUUAGUCUUAAAUAUUAUAGGUGAACUGUGUCAUAGCUGAUUGAGAGAUAACUAUAUAAGAUUUCGGAGAUUAAACGUAAAUUAAACAAUGAAUAUUUAGAAAUUUCCUGCAUCAUUUUGGAACUCAUAUACCGAGUUAUUGGAGUCGCGCAGAUGAAAUAUGUGAACGCUAUAUAUAUCCUGGUGUAGUAACCCAGAUAUUUUUUCUACAUAGAUGCUUGCACGUUUUCUUUGAUGAAUUAUUUUAUCUAUGCUUUCCUUCCAUUCGAAAUGAAAUUUAAGGUACCUAUUAAAGUUUUAGGAAAAGCAGAAAACAUGGCAAUAACCAUAUUUUACACAGUUUUUACAAAUACUUACAUGUUACAUACAAUUGUAUAGAUUUGAGCCCCAGCUCACAUUUAUAAAAACUUAUUCCAUU